UACGUAGGUGGCAAGCGUUGUCCGGAUUUAUUGGGCGUAAAGCGCGCGCAGGCGGUCCUUUAAGUCUGAUGUGAAAUCUUGCGGCUCAACCGCAAGCGGUCAUUGGAAACUGGGGGACUUGAGUACAGAAGAGGAAAGCGGAAUUCCACGUGUAGCGGUGAAAUGCGUAGAGAUGUGGAGGAACACCAGUGGCGAAGGCGGCCUUCUGGUCUGUAACUGACGCUGAGGCGCGAAAGCGUGGGGAGCAAACAGG
rnacentral:rRNA from 1 species